UAUUUAUCACUUAGCAUUUGGCUAAUUGUAAUUGUGAUGGUGCCACUGCAUCACAUCCCAUACACACUAGUUACUCUGAUCUUCAAUUUGCCAGCAAAAGAAAAGAAAUAUUGUUACAUUGCCACUGCACAUCAUCAUAUUUGGCCCUGUCAUCAUGUGUCCUCUCACUGCUAUUUAAUUUUCCUUUCUCCAUUUAUAAAUACAAACGGAUGGAUUUUUAUUUUUUGGGUGUGAGGUAUUUUGCUGAGGUAUUUCGCUUUCAUGACUUUAUGAUGGAUUAAUGGCGGAUUCACCUUUCAAAACGGCAUAACGACGCACGACACGCUUCCUAGCGUUGCGUUUGAUCUUUAUACGCACAAGAGUUGUUGUUGAAAGCAAGCAAAAACAUGUGAGUGUGACCACAUAAGAGGGUGAGGAAAAUGCGCUACGGUCAACGAUUUUGAUUCUGUAUCUCUAGGACCACACAAUAUGAAACUGCAUCUCUAGAGAAUUCCUGUGAUGCAAUGUUACUUUGCUGUAUGAAGAUGAUAUUUAUUGAUCCCUUUCUGUGCAACACAGGUAACUAUAGUUUCAUGCCCAUUUAUUUAUUAGUCACCCAUCAAGCUAAUAACAAGUACAAACAUGCAUUUUGACUAAAUAAUCUAUCCUCCAUCAACAUAUAUAAAAUGCAUUUAUCUAUUCUGAUUUUAUUUUUGG